UACGAAGGGGGCUAGCGUUGUUCGGAAUUACUGGGCGUAAAGCGUGCGCAGGCGGCUUCUCAAGUCAGGCGUGAAAGCCCAGAGCUCAACUCUGGAAUUGCCUUUGAGACUGAGUGGCUUGAGUACGAGAGAGGUGAGUGGAAUUCCCAGUGUAGAGGUGAAAUUCGUAGAUAUUGGGAAGAACACCGGUGGCGAAGGCGGCUCGCUGGCUCGUAACUGACGCUCAUGCACGACAGCGUGGGGAUCAAACAGG
rnacentral:rRNA from 1 species